CAUGUGGUUUAAUUCGAAGCAACGCGAAGAACCUUACCAGGCCUUGACAUGCAGAGAACUUUCCAGAGAUGGAUUGGUGCCUUCGGGAACUCUGACACAGGUGCUGCAUGGCUGUCGUCAGCUCGUGUCGUGAGGUGUUGGGUUAAGUCCCGCAACGAGCGCAACCCCUGCAUUCAGUUGCCAUCGGUGAGGCCGGGCACUCUGGAUGGACUGCCGGCGACAAGCCGGAGGAAGGUGGGGACGACGUCAAGUCAUCAUGGCCCUUAUGUCCAGGGCGACACACGUGCUACAAUGGCCGGCACAGCGGGAAGCGAAGGGGCGACUCUGAGCGGAUCCCUUAAAGCCGGUCCCAGUUCGGAUUGCAGUCUGCAACUCGACUGCAUGAAGUUGGAAUCGCUAGUAAUCGUGGAUCAGCCAAGCCGCGGUGAAUACGUUCCCGGGCCUU
rnacentral:rRNA from 1 species